CCACGCGCUCCGGUACCCGCUGCUCGCGGCUGGCCGGCUCGGGAUUCCGGGCUUUCUUCCCGAGACCGCGUCCCCCAGCUGGGCCGAAGGUGCACGCUCAGGGGCUGGAGGCUCCGCGGAAUCCCCUGCGUUCAGUAGCCCCGCUCUCCCCUGUCCCAAAGAUCAGGGAUAGCAGAGAUGAAAGUAUAAUGGAAGCAACUGGAGGAUUCCAGGUCCACUUUCACCCAAGUAAUGUAGAGGGAAGGUUCAUCGAAACUUCUUCAGCUGCAGAUCUAGAAGUCAUUAGCUAUUCUAGCAAAGUAUCUGUCACAGAAAGGUGCUUCAUAAAGGUCUGCACUGUGCUCCUUUGACCUGUGUCUUCAAGAGUGUGCUUUCAUAACAGAUUAAAGAUGACUGAAAAUUAUCUGCCACUCAUUGCAUGAAAGGUGGGAUUUGUAGACCUCCCUCUUGAAUUUGGGAGGGUUCUGUGACUGCUGUGACCAGUGAAUAUGGCAGAAGUGAUGCUUUGCCAACUUCUGGGUCCAGGCUAUACGAGAUAGGCAGUUCCACUCACUGUCUCUUAGAUCCAUGUAAAAAGUUCAUCCACCUUGCUGGAAAAACCAUGUAGAGAGGCCCUGAGACUACAUUGGGUAGGAGAGGGGCUCAACUGGACCAUCUUCCAACUGUCCCCAUCAAGAUGACAGAAAUAUAAAUGAAGCCUUCUUGAACUCCAGACCAUCCUUGCUACAAGCUAAAUGCCACCAAGCGACCCCAGUUAAUACCACGUGGAGCAAAAAUAUCACCUAACCAAGCACUGCCUGAGUUUCUGACCCCACAGAAUUCUGACCCCAUACAAAUAAAAUAAUUUUUGUAAUUUUUUAUAAUUUGUCAUGUAAUAGAUAAAUGGAACAGCCUUCUUCCACUUUUUUAAAUAGCUGCAAGAAAUCUUCUUUAAGCAGAAGGAAGUUUCUACUUUGUUCAUACAGUCUCAAGACAUCCCUGGAGCCUUUCAAGGGAAAUUUGGGCAAAAGUGGGUAGAGAGGUAAAGCUAUUAUGUAACAUUGCUUAACAUGAUUAAAAUCACCUUAAUGUCUCCCAUCCUCAAAGGCUGCCAGUGAAUUGGCAAUUAAUGGAUUAAAUGAGGACAGAGAAACUAGUAUUUGUUGUACAUAUGCACUGUGCCAGGUAUUUAACGUAUCUUAGCUCAUGUGGUCUUCGAAACAACCCCAUAUUGUAGUAUCAGGCUCACACGGGUAACUAACUAGUGCAAAGACAUAAGGCUCACAAACUGGUACUUGAACCUAGAGCUCUUUGACUCCAAUUCCCAUGUACCUGCCCCAAUACCAUGUUGACUCCCAAGGUGUAAAUCUUUAGGUAU
rnacentral:antisense_RNA from 1 species